rnacentral:rRNA from 1 species
AGUGAACGCUGGCGGUAGGCCUAACACAUGCAAGUCGAACGGCAGCACAGUAAGAGCUUGCUCUUACGGGUUGCGAGUGGCGGACGGGUGAGGAAUACAUCGGAAUCUACUUUUUCGUGGGGGAUAACGUAGGGAAACUUACGCUAAUACCGCAUACGACCUACGGGUGAAAGCAGGGGAUCUUCGGACCUUGCGCGAUUGAAUGAGCCGAUGUCGGAUUAGCUAGUUGGCGGGGUAAAGGCCCACCAAGGCGACGAUCCGUAGCUGGUCUGAGAGGAUGAUCAGCCACCCUGGAAAUGGGACACGGUCCAGACUACUACGGGAGGCAGCAGGGGGGAAUAUUGGACAAUGGGCGCAAGCCUGAUCCAGCCAUACCGCGUGGGUGAAGAAGGCCUGCGGGUUGUAAAGACCUUUUGUUGGGAAAGAAAAGCAGCAGGUUAAUACCCAGCUGUUCUGACGGUACCCAAAGAAUAAGCACCGGCUAACUUCGUG